CCUACGGGUGGCAGCAGUAGGGAAUAUUGCUCAAUGGGGGAAACCCUGAAGCAGCAACGCCGCGUGGAGGAUGAAGGUUUUCGGAUCGUAAACUCCUUUUGUUAGAGAAGAUAAUGACGGUAUCUAACGGAUAAGCACCGGCUAACUCCGUGCCAGCAGCCGCGGUAAUACGGAGGGUGCAAGCGUUACUCGGAAUCACUGGGCGUAAGGAGCGCGGAGGCGGGAUAGCAAGUCAGAUGUGAAAUCCUAUGGCUUAACCAUAGAAGUGCAUUUGAAACUGGUAUACUGGAGUAUGGGAGAGGAGAGUGGAAGUCUAUGUGUAGGGGUAAAAUGCGUAGAGAUCAAGAGGAAUACCAGUGGCGAAAGCGACCCGCUAGACCAUAACUGACGCUGAUGCGCGAAAGCGUGGGGAGCAAACAGGAUUAGAUACCCGUGUAGUC
rnacentral:rRNA from 1 species